UUUGACGACCUUUUGCUGGCGCAACCACCUGAUGUUCCAUGGCUUAGGUUGCGUGAUGCUGCUCCGUCCCUUUUCUUCCUCAUUCUUUAAGAUUGUUGCCCGAGUUUAACUUUCAGUGGGCUCAUAAGCAAAGGAAUUGUGUCAGUACUAACCUGAGUUAUUGAAACUUGACUGAGGUUGGUGGGAGUUGCAGAAGGUUGGCUAAGGUUGGUGGGAGUUAUUGAGAUUUGGCUGAUGGGAAGAGUUAUUGAAGCUAGGCUGUGGUUGGGGGAGGGGCCGAAAGCUUUAGCUAAAAAAAGGUAGUUCAUCUUUUCUUCAGCAUAAUCUCUCAGUCUGUUGAGCUCUGGCAAGACUUCUGUGCCAAGAUCUGGCCUGUCUUUCCGUCUCAGUUCUGCACAUUGGAGUGCAAGCUUUGCAAACCAUAAAGUCUCUUCAAUUGGCCAAUCAGGCACAUCUGAGUCUAGAACUUCUUUGAGCGUCUCAUUUUCAAUUGCUUGUUCAACAAUGUGAGUCAAGCCCAUUGGUGGCUUGGCUGUUAUGACUUGCAGAAGCAAGAUCCCUAAGGAAUAUACAUCAGAUUUCACACCAAGCAUUCCAGUUUGUUGAUACUCUGGAUCAAUAUAGCAGAAAGUUCCAGCAGCUGAUGUCAUGUGGUAUUGUGUUACAUUCUCAGAAGUAGUAGGAACAAGCCUGGCCAACCAACAUCACUAAUCUUACUGGUGUAAUUGUUGUCUAGCAAAAUGUUUCCUGGCUUGAGGUCACGGUGAACCACUGGCUCUGGCUUGGUCUGAUGGAGAAAGAGCAGACCUGUGGCUAUCUCAGCUGCAAUUCGGAACCUGAUUUGCCAAGAAAGAGCUGCUGUAUUCCCUCUCUUGAAGAGACAGUCUUCUAAGCUUCCUUUUGCCAUGUAUUCAUAGACUAGAAUACCAUACUCUGGGCAGGCUCCUAGAAGCAGUACCAUGUUUGGAUGCCGUAUUAAGCUAAGCACUUCAACCUGCAAGCUUCUUUGAGGGUUUUCUCUAUGUUGAGUCUCCUUUGCGCUUCUAUUGCAGCUCUCUUCUCAGCUUCUUCAGCAGCGUCUAUGGCUUCUCUGCACCUGGCUUUCUCUUGCUCUAUAAUCGACAGUGCAGCUUCUUCAGAAAACCUAGACUCUUCCAAUCUUCGUUCUUCUUCUAUUCUCCAGCGAUUCAGCUCUGUUGCCUAUAUACAUACCAUUUUAGAACCUACUGGGAAUCUUACUAGUGCACGUAGAAAAAAUGAAUUCUCUGUACCUUCCGUUUUGCUGUAAGUGCUUCUCUACAUGCUGCGUUGUACAAGUCCAUUGUUUGCUUCAACUCUAGUUUUAGCCUCCUCAUCUCAGACUCCAUGUCAUCCUAUAUGUUUCAAUUACAGAUUAGGAGAAAGCAUUGAAUCAUGCAUCUGUGCUUUAUUAUCACACUUUGCGCAGUCUUAUUGACUUUAAAGUUAAAACAACAAAUGAAAGGCUAAAGAAAUCAAAAUAUAAAAUUGCUUUUUCCAAUCAUGGAAAGAUCGAUGUAAGAUUAUGCUACAAGCCAUCAUAGGAUGUUACUCUAUCUAAAUUGACCGAAUAAUCUUAGCUAUUUUGCGGAAUUCAGUGUAUAACCCAAGAGAAAAACGAAGAAAAACUUAAAUUGCUUGUUCUUGACAAUAUUCACAGUGUAGCCUGAAUCAAACAACUUGAGGAUAUGAUCUAACUAGAUUAAUUUUCCUGUUAAUAGGAAAAAAAUGGUUAAAAUAAUAACUCUAUUAUUAAACAUCCUUUAUUUCCUUAAGUGUUUACAGUGUUUGAUGGUUAGUCGAGCUUAUUUACCUAAUCAUGCUAUUGUCAAAACGGUUAAUUGCUUACCAGGCUGUGUGUUGAACCAGUAAAAGAUGUUCUGCCGCUAUCUUGUGAAAUUGAUGAAAAUCCCUGAUGGUAAUUGGGGCUAAAGAACUUUGGUCCUGAUUGUAUAGAUGCAAAGCUAGUGUCUGAGCUAGUUGAAAACCGAGGGGUUGCUCCAGAAUCCAUGAAAUCAUAGGUUACAGAAGACAUGCGGUCAGUGCUUGGCCUGCUGGAGCUGACAAAUGAUAUGUCAGUUUCUGACAUGAGAUCUGCAAAUGAUUUUACACUAUGACCCUGUCCUCCUCUUCCUAAUGGUGACCUGUUGUAUUAUGUUCAGCCUUUGAACAAAUUAAAUCAUAGCCAAGCUUUAGCAAUAAAAAAAGAGAAUAUAUUACAAAGACAUCCCAGACUAUCACUCCAUAAAUAUUUACUGAUUAUAUAUGCACGUUAUAUUAUAUCAUGUUCACUGCCAUCCCCUCUCAUCUUCUAAAAUGAUUUGAUGCAUUCCUCACUUACCUGAAGGUUUCACCAACUGAGAUACGAGGCUUGACUGGCAUCGUUCUCUCUGUCAGCAGAAGACCAUAAAUUGGAUUUUGGAUUAGGAUUAAGACAAAAUAAAAUGGAAAAAGGACCAUAUGAUUGGGAGAAUAAACCUUUUAUGCUCCAAACAUGUUUGUAUAGUGCUUCAGAAGAAUCUACCCUUGGACUAUUUUGGUUCUGUUGGUUUUGUAUUUGAUGUAGAAGUGGGGAGGCGAAUGGGGCAGGACGAGAAGCAUUUCUCAUUGUAGAGACCUUUCCUUUUGAUACAACAUACACAGUACAGAAAUCAGAUAUUGCCAAUCAAAGUUCAGAGUUGAGGAGAAUAUAUAAAAUUCUGCUAGUAUUCUGAAAGUUGACCUAUGUGAAAACAAAGUGCUUUUCAUCUGAAAUAGCACCAAAACUGAUGCUGUUUUGAAUGCUUUUCAAAGUUUUUGCUGUGAGGGUCUCGAAACCAUAAAAGAGGACCUCAAACAGCAUCAAUCCAAAAGCAUUUUGAAACACACCCGAACCACAAUACCAAAAGGUAGAGUUGCCAAGUCAGGAGGGGGCUAGGGACGGCAAAAAUACCUCAUAAAUCCACUCCGUGAUGGGGUUCCGAGAACCAAAGUCUCGAUUGCUGCAUGGGAAACAUAUUCUGUUAUUGCUUUUGCUAUAUCUGUGCUUUCAACUGCAACAUCAAGGCAAUGUACCUGUAUGUUGGAAUGGAAAGGAGAAACAAGACAUUUUCCAUGCCUAAAGGUGCAUAUUUAUAUCGUGGAAAGGAGGAAUAACAAUGACAGGCUCAGAAACGUACAUCUUUGCGAGUACAAUAGCAUCGAAAUGUAAGGAAGAGAUCCUUUGCCAUCUUCUCAAGCUGCUGCUUCCCUGGUGAAGAAUAAUCACCAGGCGAUCCAUGGCCUGGUCGUGAAACAAUGCAAACAUGUGGAAGAGAAAGAAGAUUAGAACAUGAAACCUAGAACUUGAAAAACCACUUGAGAGAUCAAAGGAGCUGUAAGGCAUUGAAUGUAAGCUGAGCAACCCCCUUUCAACAUCAUAAUCUGUCAUUAUUCUAAAUAACGAAUCAGAUAGAGAAUUAUAAAUUACUUGUAACAAAUGAUGAUGAUGAUUUAUAAAAAACAUGGAUUAGAAUAAGAUUUUGGCCCUUGGAGAGAAGAUUUUCCACAGUCCAUUUCAAUGCGUUUUGGCUCCCCUUGUCUUUAUCUACAGCAACUGCCACCAGCCCAUUUCCUUCUCCUCCCUUCUUGGUACCGUGUCCCUUCGAGAGCCACAUUUGCUGUCUUGUAUCUUCUCAACACAGAAAAGAAUUCAAAGGACGGGAAUCCGCAAAAGUGGUCAAGAAUUCAAAGGCCUGUAAUUGUCAUCAAGAGAAGACCGCCUAAGAGGCCUUGAAACCUCUCUUCUAUCACCCUGGAUGUGCUCUGAUGCUUUCUGGUCAAAGAGGAGUUUUAAGUGCUUUCUGAAGGGAAAUGGCAAUUGGAUGCAAGCCUCAGUGUGUUUCCAGCAGAAAUGACACCCCUCAUUUUCUCAGUCCCUGUUUAGAAGCUUGCCUAUAUUUAGAGAUCGAGGGCCAUUGAUGAAGCUGUGCCGUUUCAAUGGACACACGAUGUUACUAAAUAAAGGAUGGUCUUCGGUGUACUUUGUUCACUGAUGGACUCUAUACCAUUGUUUACAUGAUUAUUGAAUUAUAUUCAAGUUUUUAUAAGAGAUUCCUAGGCCAGUUCUAUUGAGAACCAUCAUCUGCUACAUGAAAAUUCUAAAAUUCGGCUCGAAAUUUCAUGUUU